GAUGAACGCUGGCGGCGUGCCUAAUACAUGCAAGUCGAGCGAACGGACGAGAAGCUUGCUUCUCUGAUGUUAGCGGCGGACGGGUGAGUAACACGUGGAUAACCUACCUAUAAGACUGGGAUAACUUCGGGAAACCGGAGCUAAUACCGGAUAAUAUUUUGAACCGCAUGGUUCAAAAGUGAAAGACGGUCUUGCUGUCACUAUUGGAGGAAUUCGCGCUGCAUUAGCUAGUUGGUAAGGUAACGGCUUACCAAGGCAACGAUGCAUAGCCGACCUGAGAGGGUGAUCGGCCACACUGGAACUGAGACACGGUCCAGACUCCUACGGGAGGCAGCAGUAGGGAAUCUUCCGCAAUGGGCGAAAGCCUGACGGAGCAACGCCGCGUGAGUGAUGAAGGUCUUCGGAUCGUAAAACUCUGUUAUUAGGGAAGAACAUAUGUGUAAGUAACUGUGCACAUCUUGACGGUACCUAAUCAGAAAGCCACGGCUAACUACGUG
rnacentral:rRNA from 1 species